UUUUUUUCCCGAUAAAAGUUAAAUUUUAUUAAGUUUCUACAUGCAGAACUACACUUCCUGAUCAGCCUGCAUAUUAACUGCAGCGUCAGGUACAACAUCCUUUGAGAGUAUACAUUCUAAAACAUACAAACUCAAAUGAAAGAAACAUCCCUUGUGCAUUGCAAGAUACUAUCUACCUACACUAGGACGACAGACAGCAUCAUCCAGUCACCAAAUGCGUAACCCAGCCACAGUAUUGAACCUAAAUCAUGAGGAACUAUACAAUUUCAAACAGCUGAAAAACAAGGGCCCUUUUUGUGCAUCUCUUACCAUGAAAAGCAAUUAGGUUACUUCCCAUUCUACAUGCCCUUUUUGUGCAUCAUAGCCCACUAUCAUUGCCGAGAUUCUUUGGUGUACCCCUCUCAAGUGCUGAAACAGGCUGAAACAUACACAUUACAAUCUAUAGGUCUGCACCAGACAGUCAGACACCUAUUUCAAAGUAUAUGUAAAGACCCGGCCGUAGCAUAAUCUUUUGAAUACAGACAGACUCACCCUGUAAAGACCUGGCAGUAGCAUAAUCCCCACAAGACCCUUCCAGAAAGCUUGAGAAAUUC
rnacentral:lncRNA from 1 species